UAUAUAAUAUUUUUCUUGCUUGCACGCUUGAGUGAUGCACAGCCUUAUGUAAUAGGGAACCCGACUUGUAUGGGUCCUGAAAGACCUAGGGGAAGAGUGUUAUACAGAGUGCCACCCAAGGCACACAGGGCAGCUAAGAAUUCAUUCCUCUCCCCUUGCGCAUCCCCAUCCCUCUCGUCACCCAGUCCUAGAUGGCCUCCUACACAUCCUUAGCACUCUCCUCUCUUUUCCACCAAGGCACCCCCAAAUCCCAUGGGCGGGCCUGAGCAGAAGCCCCGCCCCAACUUCAGGCCCCGCCUCCUUCGGCCGGGUAGCCCCACCCCCUACGGGGAUUGCCAGGCGCGGGACUAGGGGCGGAGCGGCAGGAUGCGGGGCAGGGGCGGACCCGGUCCAGGCGCCGGGAGGGGCGGAGUUGCAGCGUCGCCCUUCACAGCUCGCAGCGGGAUGAGAGGCGGGCCCGGAGGCGGGCCCGAGGGCGGGGUCAGGGGCGGACCCGGGCCAGGCGCAGGGAGGGGCGGAGUUGUGGCGUCGCCCUUCGCCACUGCUUGCGGCGGCGGAGCCUCGGGGGCGGGGAAGCUGGCGACAGGGCCGCUGGGGUCUUGUGGUCCUACAGAAUCGUGGGCAGCGGGACCCGGCAGUCAGCAGAGGAACAUGGCGCCCUGGACACUCUGGCGCUGCUGCCAACGCGUGGUGGGCUGGGUUCCGGUGCUCUUCAUCACCUUUGUGGUCGUCUGGUCCUACUACGCGUACGUGGUGGAGCUGUGCGUGAGUACUAUUUCCAGAACAGGAGAGAAAGGAAAGACCGUUGUUUACCUUGUGGCUUUCCAUCUGUUCUUUGUUAUGUUUGUAUGGUCUUAUUGGAUGACAAUAUUCACGUCUCCUGCUAGCCCUUCCAAAGAGUUCUACUUGUCAAACUCUGAGAAGGAGCGUUAUGAGAAGGAGUUCAGCCAAGAAAGACAGCAAGACAUUUUGAGAAGAGCGGCAAGAGACCUGCCUAUCUACACCACAUCAGCUUCAAAGGCUAUCCGAUAUUGUGAAAAAUGUCAGUUGAUUAAACCUGACCGAGCCCAUCACUGCUCAGCAUGUGACAGAUGUGUUCUUAAGAUGGAUCAUCACUGUCCAUGGGUGAAUAACUGUGUGGGAUUUACUAAUUACAAAUUCUUCAUGCUGUUUUUGUUGUAUUCUCUACUAUAUUGCCUUUUUGUGGCUGCAACAGUUUUAGAGUAUUUUAUAAAAUUUUGGACGCUUUGCCGCAGGAAAUCUACAGAGAAUUGCCCAAAGAAUGAACCAACAGUUUUAAAUUUCCCCAGCGCAAAGUUCCACGUACUGUUCCUUUUUUUUGUGUCUGCAAUGUUCUUCGUCAGUGUGCUCUCACUAUUUAGCUACCAUUGCUGGCUGGUUGGAAAAAAUAGAACGACAAUAGAAUCAUUUCGUGCACCUAUGUUUUCUUAUGGAAUAGAUGGAAAUGGUUUCUCUCUUGGAUGCAGUAAAAAUUGGAGACAAGUCUUUGGUGAUGAAAAGAAAUAUUGGCUAGUUCCAAUAUUCUCAAGUUUGGGUGAUGGUUGCAGUUUUCCAGCUCGCCUUGUGGGGAUGGAUCCAGAACAAGCUUCUGUUGCAAACCAGAGUGACUACGUCAGAAGAUCUAAACUGCAGAGGUAGAAAGCAGAAAACUUGGGAGAUGACAGUAUUGGCUCAAAUCAACCUUUUCCUAUCAAACCACUUAGUGAAUCAAAAAACCGCUUAUUGGACAGUGAAUCUCAGUGGCUAGAGAAUGGAGCUGAAGAAGGAGUCACCAAAUCAGGGACAAAUAACCAUGUUACAGUGGAAAUAGAAAAUUGAGUACUACUUGUUCAUAACUAACCAUUUGAUGAGUGCAAGGUAUAUAAAAACACAUUUUGGACUAUUUUCAAUUUUAUUUGCAAGAAAAUGAUGGAUGGAAUGAAAUACUUGAAGUGUAACAGAAGAUAUAUUUUUAAAAGGAAAUGUUUGUACAGUUUGAUGGAUCCACAGAAGCACUGCAGAGCGGAAAGAUGCCUUAAUUUUUAGUGUCCAUUUGUGUGACAUUGCCUCACAGCUCAAAAGUGACUUAAUUUUCCUUUGGAAAUAACACCUGUUUUACAAUGCUAUCGUCACGUGUUAACAUGCCAUAUGUAUUUUAAACAUCUGAGUUACAACAUUAGAGCUAUUUCUUAGUAUCCACAUAAAUUUUCACCCCAAAAACACAAACUAAAAAGUUGUCUGUGGUGAAGUAUACCUAGGGAAAACGGGGGCUAAAAAUGAUGCCCAAAUCACUGAUUCUUGUGCUGUAUAAGGGAAAGAAAUACCGCUUUUUUUAUUAGAUGUUUACUAAUUUAUAAUUACUGUUUUAUACUUUUCAACAUUUUAAUAAAGAUUUUUUAAUUAUUGGCUAUAAAAUAACACUCAAAGAAGGAUUCAGGUACCUAAAUAUAAUCAUUUAGAACAUUGAAGAUAUUAAUAUAAUUCAGUGAAGGUUUAGUUAGAAGCAUUAAUACUUCUAAUUAGUACUUUUAAAAGCCAAGUGGCACAUGCCUAUAAUCCCAGCAUUCAGAAGGCUGAGGUAAUAUUCUGUGAUUUUGAGUCUAGCAUUGGUUGCAUAGAGACCGUAUCUAAAACACAGAAUAAUACAGCCAUGUGGUGUAGUGUGAGCCCAAGGCUCAAAGGAAACAUGGUAGGAAACAACUACACGUUGGUAUUCUCUGCUCUUUAAUUACUAGUUGUUGAGUGUUCAAGGGAAGUUUUUAUGGGCAGGGAAGCACAGAGGUUCACGUGCUAUCCAAAGACCUAACACAUAUAUGAAUAGGUGGGAGUGACUAGAAAAAAAGAGAAUGAAAGAAGGAGUAUUAUAAACAAGUAAACAAAUUUUCAUCCCUAAAAGUAUAUAGACUACAACAUGCUAUUAAAUAGGAUUUCAUUUAGGCAAUGUCUAAAAAUUACUGUGGUCGUUUACAGGAAUCCUGUAGCCGAGUCAACAGCAACUCAAAUGCAGUUCAGAUAAGGAUGAAAUAUGUAAAACAAAACCACGACGUCCCAGGCUUGGGCUGGAGAAAUGUCUCAGUAGAUAAAGGCCCUUGCCCUCAGACCUACAACCUGACAUCAGCCACAUUCUGGAAGAAGAUACCUAACUCCCACACAUUGUCCUCUGGCAUUUACAUGUGCACUAUGGUGCACAUAGACUCUUUAAAAGAUAGUACGUUUUUAGCGUCUAGUGGCUUUAAUAGAAAUGGCUGUAUUGAGGAGAUUAGUCCACUGGUCUGUCAAAAGGCAAUGUAGAGAUGCUAUUUUUGGUUUAUACCGUUUAUCAAAGAAACAAACGCCAGGCGUGGUGGCGCACGCCUUUAAUCCCAGCACUUGGGAGGCAGAGGCAGGUGGAUUUCUGAGUUCGAGGCCGGCCUGGUCUACAGAGUGAGUUCCAGGACAGCCAGGGCUACACAGAGAAACCCAGUCUUGAAAAACCAAAAAAAAAAGAAAGAAAAAAAGAAAGAAAGAAAGAAAGAAAGAAAGAAAGAAAGAAAGAAAGAAAUGAAACAAUCCCAAAUGAUUGCUUGAGGUGGACCAGCAGAGAGACGUCUCUGAUGUGCUGCUGUCUAGGAUGUGGCUAUGCAGUGUCUGUGUGCACAAUAGGACUGUGGAGAAGGCAUCCUGCAGGAGUUGGACUAUAGGACUCCCAACAUUACCCAGUGCUGAAGUUUGCAGAUAACCUUGCUUUUUAUUUACCCACCAAGUAGCUGUCAAGUCCUCUGAAUAUCAAAUAUUAUACUAAAGAUAGCGCUGUGAUUUCCAAAUCCUGCAUAAAUCAAGAUCGCUGCUGUUCUAACUUUGCGAUUUGGGAAGUUUACUGAAUUCCCAUUGACUGCACUAAUUAUGAAUCUUAAGUAACUUUCCCUUUGGACCAAAGGAGUGAGUCAGCUUUGGCACCAUGGUUUAAAGUUGUAUGUAGUAUGAAUUCCUCUUCAUUUCAGCUCUUUUGACUUUCAUUCUAUAAAAACAGUGACUUAAGAGAUAGCAGUUACUGCUAGGCAUGCUGGCGCCUGCUGGCCGUCUCAGCACUUGGGAGUGUGAAUCAGGUUGGUCUAGCUCACUCUCAGCACCACCAGCAGCCUGUGCUGCAUGAAGCCUGUGCUAAACAGCCCGAGAGGAAACGAAGAUCAAUUACUAACCAGAAAUACAACUUCAAUUUGGUAGUGUGCAUGCUACUUUCAGAAAUAUUCUAGUAUUUCAGUGUUUCUAUAUUUAUACCAAGGGAUUUGCAUGCACCUGGCAUAGUUUGCCCCUUUAACAUACUAUUACGUAGAAGUAUCAAAUUUCUGAGUUCUUAUCAUUUGUUUAUUAGCAGAGUAAAACCAUUUCUAGUUUUCCACUUUGGUAGCCUUUAUAGCCAGCUUUUUGCCACAUUCUAAAAUAUUUAGCUGCCUUUUGUUGUUUCGGUUUUGUUUCAUUUUAGUGCUGGGAAUCAAAUCCAGGGCCUUCUGCAUACUAGGCAAGUCCCCUACCACUGAGCUACAUCCCUGGCCCGAGCUGAAGCUGUUCAUACGUGUCAGUGGCCGCUCAUUAGGGACCAGCAAGGGACCAGCAUGGGAAUCAGGGAAGGCUGGCUGUUUAGUAUGUGAACUGGCAUUGCGUCUGCUAUCAGGGGGGGACUACAUUGAAACAGAGCUUUGCCAAAAUUUCAAACACUUGAACAUUUGUGAAGAAAAUGGAGUUGAAUUUCAGGUCUUGCCCUUGCCAUUAAAAACAUCAGACAGGAGACUUGGUUUACUGGGUACAGAGGUACUUGACUGUUGAGUACCUGCGGCACCUGACCCUGUCACUGUGCCAACCAAAGCAGCUGCAGUGUACCAGCUAUUGACAUGAACAUGUUUACAAAGUUGAGUUUUGUCUUCAUAAAAGAAUGAUUUUUAAAAAACUUUUUACAUAGUUAUGACUCAAUGUGUUUAAAGCAUAACAAGUUAGCUUAAAUAUAUGGUCUUUACUUGAAUUUUAAUUCUUACAGAUAGCAAAUUUUGACUGUUUACAGGAAUGCUUGAAAUGAGUCAAGAGAUCUCUAAUUCUCUCUGAAGCAAAACUGAUACAGGCUUAGUGUUCGAGCCUGUGUAUUUGUGGCAUUGGAUAGGCAGUAACUCAAAACUACGUUUCGCUUACAUCUUGUUCUAUAAAGUAGUACUUUUGCGUGGAUAAGUAUUUUUAACUGAUAUUAAGAAAUCAUAUUUUUGCAUUUCAGUCAAACUAGUAAGAACAUACGUAAAAGUACAAAUGAGAUGUAAAUCUGAAAUUCAUGUUUCAUAUGAUCAAGCUGUAUUUUUAAAUUCAAAUUUAAAAUACAAUAGAGAUUCAGAAAGGUCCAUAUUUUUCUAAUGACUUCAUGCUAUAUUAUUUUCUUGAGUUACGUAAAGCAAGGAAUUGUAUUUGUAUUAAGGAGCUAAGGAAGCUGUUAGUUUAUUAUAUUUGUACAUGAUUACAGACAAGCCUAUGCCCAUUUAAAAGAAAAGAUGGAUACUAUUUAAGGUGAUAUUUAAUAUGUUUUUCUAUAAACAAGUUUGAAAUAUAGUUUGCCUUAGUUGUCUUAUCAGUAGCAUAGCCUUCUAUUUAUUUCUCAUUAUGUGAACCUGGACUAUGACCAGUGACUCUUGUCUCUGUAUUUUGGAUGGCCUAACCUACAUUACUAUGUGUGCAUUUUACAACUUUUUUUUUUCAGAAACCAUAAUUACUUUAUUAAUAAACAGAUAAAGAUAU